GAGCACCAGGCUGGGCUUCCUGUGUUAUACGGCAACUUCUCAUUUGCUAUCUGUUUUACAUAUGCUACAGUACUGUACCCGGAGGAAACAGCAGUGAACCAGCAGAACCACAGUUUCUGCCUUCAUGAAGCUUACAACUCAGCAGGGAGACUGACGUCAAAGAAACACAGGCAGAGGCCAUUGUUUGUGGAUUCUGUGUUUGCUGCUAAGUCACUUCAGUUGUGUCCGACUUUGUGCGACCCCAUAGACAGCAGCCCACCAGGCUCCCCCGUCCCUGGGAUUCUCCAGGUUGGGGCUUCUCGUGCCACAAUAUUUGGAAGUUAUAAUCAUUCUAGUGGCCAUAUCACUGUUCUGAACCUUGUUGCCAGUCAAACCUCUUGUGUAUGUGUGUGUGACAGCCAUAGCAAGUCACAGGCACACUGCCUGAUUA
ensembl:lncRNA